GUGAUUCCAACUGGUAUGUGUGGGGCUCCAGCCACCUUAGUUGGAAUUCACCAUGAACUGCAUCUCGAGGAUCAAGUUUAGGCUCCCCAGUCCAUUGUGACAUCCAGCAAAGUGGAAGAUGGAGUUUUGCUCUGUUGUCCAGGCUGGAGUGCAAUGGCGCGAUCUCAGCUCACUGCAACCUCCGCUUCCCGGGUUCAAGCGAUUCUCCUGCCUCAGCCUCCUGAGUAGCUGGGAUUAUAGGCAUGCACCACCACAUCUGGCUAAUUUUUGUAUUUUUGGUAGAGAUGGUGUUUCACCAUGUUGUGCAGGCUGGUCUUGAAAUCCUGACCUCAGGUGAUCCACCCACCUCGGCCUCUCAAAGUGUUGGAAUUACAGGCAUGAGCCACCGUGCCUGGACUAAUGAUUUUUGUAUUUUUAGCAGAGACAGGGUUUCACCAUGUCUCCCAGGCUGGUCUCGAACUCCUGGCCUCAAGUGAUCUGCCUGCCUCAGCCUCCCAAAGUGCUGGGAUUACAGAUGUGAGCCACCGUGAUCGGCCAAUUUAUCUAGUUUUUUUUUAGAAAAUACAUGAUUACAGCUCAACUUAUUCUACCUGAUAAACUCUGAAUUAUGGGUCACAUAAACCAUUUUAGAGGGGUAGUUUUAAACCAGUUAAAUUUAUUCUAAAUUUAAUGUGUUAUAAAAAGAAAAACACCCAAAGCAUAUGGCUGGCAUUUCAUUCAAUUUUACUUAAUUUAGGGUCUUUUGAAGCAUCAAAUUUUAAAAGUAAAAUAAUUUGAUAAUUAAAACCAUGGGAUAUUUGUAUUAGAAGGAAUAUUAUAGACCACUUCCCUCCCAGUACAGAUGAGUAAAACUGAGCCCUGCAACAGCAAAAUGACCUGCCCUAAUCUUUUGUUUUUUCAAGUCCUUUUAUAAAGUUACUUUAACAGGUGGCCUUUCGAGGAUUAUAAUUUUCUUUUUAUAUAUUUCCUUUUUAAAUGUGGCUUUGCAAAUAUGCUACAUAAUGAUGCACUUCAGAGACAUUUCCAUAACGGAUGUCAUGUAGUAGGGUGGAGUCCUUUUCAGCUGUCAGUGUUCUAUAGAAGUGACGUCAACAGUAGGGUACUGGCUCAGUAGGGUAUAAGUGUGUUUCAAAGUCUUGCACCUACGCAGAAGUAUAGGGCCAGUACUGGACUGACCAAGGUCAGGAACCUUGUCAACCAAAGGAAAUGAAAAAUCCAAGCCUUAAGGAUCUAAUCCAAGAUAAGGGGUUGGUGAGGAAGCAAGGUAAGGCAAAGAAAAUCUGAAUAGUACCUCAGUGGAGAGAUGAUUUGUUAGUUUUGAGACAAUACCCCAGACAGAUCACAGAAUGCAAAGAUUCUUUAUUUGAGCUGCUCCUUGAACCUGCUCUCUAAUUAAUAACUCUGAUUGUAAGAGACAUGAAAGUCACUAUAUUAUUCCUUGGGAGGCUGGAGUAAAUUAUUCACAUCAUUAGGAACAAUUCAAUGUCUGCAAAGAGGUCCCUUGUCAGGUCAUUCUGCCACACAAUGGAAAGGCUUCAUUUGCUUUGCUUCCUUAAGUCUCCUUUCUCCCUUACCUGAUCUUUGAGUAUAUACAGUCUUUUUGUUCAGUUAAAGGAACAGAUCCUUUCUUUUCUCUUCAUCAAAGCUGAUAAAUAAAUUGCAGCUUUUUAAUAACCUUUCCAAUUUCUUUUUUACCUUCAUCAAAGCAGGUACUGCUCAUUAAAAUGGCAUAAUCGCUCUGGAUUAGUGUGAAUUUCAGCUUUUACAGAAGAGAAAUCCCACAAAGGAGAGAAGCAUAGGUAACAGAUUGCAAAGUGUUGGCAAUACUUCCCUUAAAUCUGAAUGUAAAUACCAGCCUCUCUUAGCUCCCAGCAACGUAUACUUAUGUAUUGGAGCUUCCCAGAUGCACAGAAUGGAUGUGCAAGAUGAGAACCAGUUGUCAAGGAUUCUUUCUUCUUUUGAAUUUGUCUUGCAAUAUUUAAAAUAGUAAUAUGUAUCUUUUUUUUUUUUUUACCAGAAAUGACUCAGAACAUUAAGGUCUUUCCUGUGCCUUGUUUUCCAUUUUGAAUUAAAUAUAUUAUUUUUAAAAAAUGAAUCAAUACCUUCAUUAACAUUUAUAUCAACCCUUUACUUUUUUUAUUUUGUGGAGGAAGGAAGAGGCUCUGAAGAUUUGGAACAGCUCAGCCUCCAAAGUGCAGGACCUGUUGUGCCCCUCAAGGAAAGAGAGGCCACCAUAAGGCCAAUCUGAGUUCCUGAAGAGUAAGGGAGGAGACCACCCCUCAUAUUGUCUUAUGCCCAAUUUCUGCCUCCAAGAAAAGAAAAAGUAAAAACUAAAAGGCAGAAAUGAAAUCCACGAGCAGACAGCCCGGUGCCAUACCCUGGGUCUGGUAGUUAAAGAUCGACCCUGACCUAAUCGCCUGUGUUAUCUAUAGAUUACAGACAUUGUAUAGAAAAGCACUGUGAAAAUCCCUAUCCUGUUUUGUUCCGAUCUAAUUACCAGUGCAUGCAGCCCCCAGUCACGUACCCCCUGCUUGCUCAAUCGAUCACGACCCUCUCACAUGCACCCCUUUAGAGUUGUAAGCCCUUAAAAGGGACAGGAAUUGCUCACUCAGGGAGCUCUGCUCUUGAGACAGGAGUCUUUCUGAUGCCCCCGGCCGAAUAAACCCCUUCCUUUUUUA